AUCAGCCAUGGAGCCCAGUAGCUGUGCCUUGAAGACCGGCGAGCGGGCAGCGAGCACAGCCCGGUGAGCGGGGAACUCCUCGCCAUCGAGGACGAAGGUAACAUCAGAGCCGCCGCCGUCCGGGCACUCCAGCAAGCGCCCAAGAUGGCUCCCAAUGUCGGGGGGUGGCACGUCCAAGGGGUCCUUCUGCAAAACUUUGAUCCUGCACGCGAUUGUGAAGGAGCCAUUGGUCACGUAGAGUGACUUGAGGACCCUUCGCAGUACGAAUUGAUGCCAGCCCCAAUUUUCAGCAGCGCCGUAAACACGCACGCACAUGCUUCUUGUGACGACUGCUAGCUCUAAUACAACUGUUCUUAACUUGAUCACUGAUUACAUACAGAAUAAUCAAGCUGGUGAAGCGGAUCACUUUGGAGGAUGCUCAAGUGGAGAGACGAAAAUGUACCCGCUUCAUCUAUUCAAAAGUACCUUGUGUAGAAGCUCAGUCUUCCAAGUGAGUCUGAGUGGCGAUGAGUCUCCUGAAGAUGCGCACAAGACAGUGCUUAUACUUUUAGUUGGGAGUUGAAUCAGUAGAUAAGAUUCAAUUGUUUUGCGCUACUUGUCUUUACAAUACUUGAUUCAGUGCAUGUCUAGCUAGAUUGUAUGGUGCCUACUAAGGUGGUACUGAUUUUAAUGUUUUAAGCCCACUAUGGUGAUUAUUCUAAUGCACAGACAUUACUGGAUGUGUGCACCAAAAUAAGAUCUCAACUUUGUACGAGGACUGCAUUUGUAAUGUAUACAGUGGAUAAAGAAUGUGAAUUUGUGAUGUAAAAAAUGGAUAAAACAUGUGUAUAUGUGAUGUAUAUAAGGGUACAUUGUGCCC